ACCCUGUUGGCACUGCUGCACGUGCGCUCAAAUAGAGGCAACAAAACGAAACAGUCUACGUCAUCAUGAGAACUAACGCUCUUCUGCUCGUUUUCUGCUUACUGCUUAUAAUCGCUUACAGCGAUUCCAAGAAAUGCAGCAGUAAAGGGUUCAAAUGUGUAGCUGACACGCAGUGUCCGUCUGAACGGCAAAAAAAUAAGGAGCCUUGCGGAAGAACCGGAAAGAUUUGCUGCGACAUUCGGAAGAAAUACACCUGUUCUCUCUUUCGCGGAACAUGCGAACCUAACAAUACAAACUGCCAAUCAUUGAAGAAUGCAAGCAAGUCCUGCGGUAAAAACAAGAAAUGUUGCAUAAACCUGCAGUAGGAAAACUAUUAUGCAGCACGCCAUGCCUCUAUGUGCUUGAAAACAUUAGCGGCGGACCGUAAAUUCAUAUCACCUAUUUCCUUCCACCUGAUUAUCUUUUUGUAAUAAAGGCGUGCUCGGCACA
rnacentral:lncRNA from 1 species